AAACCUGCUUUGUAUAUUAAUGCUAGACCCACACCUUAAGAUGAGCUGUGGGAAUGCAAAACCAAGACCAAGAGAAGCAAGGCUGGAGGGACCUUUGUCAAAAGGAGAAAACACCAGGUAGAGAUUAUAUAUAACAUCAGGAGCUUGGAGAGAAGAGUGACAUAUCCAAGGUCACAUAGCAAAUGAGCAGAACAGCCAGCUCGACGACUGCCUCACGGCGUUUCUACCCUGGUAUCCGCUUCUUCACACCACACCUCAUUCAGUUACAAAUUGUCCUACGGUUUUGGGACUUCUGAAGAUUGGUGACAAACAGUUGGCACAGUGAUAUCACACCUGAAGAAGCAUUUGCUCUGCAUCCAUUGUCUCAUUCUGUCUUCAUCGUAUCCUUAUGAAGUAGGAAAACCAAGAUCUUGUGACCCAUUUGAAUCAGAUAAGUAAACCAAGGCCAGGAAAAGUAAAAGGCUAUUCCAAGAUCACACAAGGUGAGGCCAGGAUCAGAAUCAAGAGCUCUGGACACCUUGUCCAGUGCUCUUCUUGUCCUACCCACAUCACUCUGCCUCACUCGAUUACAGUUUAAAAACAUUAAUAAACC